GGAAUUACAGCGAGGCUGGGUGGAGGUGGGGUUGGGGCAGGGGAGAAUGUUGUUCUAAAUAUUAGCUGGGCUUGUGAGGUGGCCUCUUGGCUGGAGCCUGACCACCUAACUUCCUGUUUUUCCUACAGCUGCCUCCUCCCCUCCCUCUUCUCUGGGCUGGAACUGAGCCGGGGAGGAAGGAGGAGCAGCAGAGUUGGCCAGGGUCGCUUUUCUGAUUCCCUGCAGGCUGGGGGCCAGGACGGCCUCCCUAAGCAAGCAGGCGGAGGCACAUAUAGCCCUAGGUCCCGUCGUUGAAUCUCAGCACUUGCUCCUCUGGCCACAGCAGGAACAAGAGGCUCCUGGAAAGCCCCAACUUCUCACCAGCUCUUCCAUGAGCACACCCUGGUCCCAGGGCCUGAGAUUUCUCCAUGCAGGAGCAGCCAGAAACUCCAGAGGCGGCGGCAACGCCGGACACACCACCCGCCCAACUGCCUCCAGCCCCACCGCCCAGCCAGCUGCUGGUCCCUUCUCUGCCAGUGUUCGUGGACCACGCAAAACAACCAAGCAAGGAACUCAUUAAGCCCAAAGCAAUUUUAGGGCGCCCAGUAGAGAGACCUGCAGAGGCUGCUGCUGCUGCUGCUGCGGAGGCUGCUGGUGCUGCUGCUGAAGAGUGCCCGGCAUUGGGCACCAGGGGAGUUGGAGUCAAAAACCAUCGCUGUCAGGUCUGCCGGCCCCCCAGCCAGUUCCUCAAGUCAGGCACUUCCUACUCCCUGUGGAGACCUAGGGAUCUCUAAGGCCCUCCAGCUUCCCCUGCCACCUCCAUCUUCAUUCCUCAUUCCUGGUACUUAGCCUCCCUUUGUGGCUUCUCUUUUUAUUCACUUCUCCAACCAACCCCAUCUCACCCUACCCACUCCCUAAUUCUCAAGGUGACAUUAGAGGAUUAAGAGAGGCCCCUAUCCCUAUCUUGAUCGGUUAGUCUGCAAUUGCCUGUCUGUGACUUACCCUGCUGUAUAUGGUGGCACAGUUGUUCUCUCAGAGCCACCAGGAGUCUCCCAAGACCCCUGACUGACAUCUGUUUCCAGGCUAGGCUGGUUUUUCUCCUGGAACUGCUAGGCCCAGGAGAGACUCUGGCUAGUCACUGUGACUACACCUGAGAGUUUGCUGUCCUCCUGUUUCCUGAAGACCCAGGAGGAUCUUGGGUAGCCUCUCGUGGGUCCCUGGGCUGCCACAUCACUUUUGUGGCCCUCAACCCCCUCCCUGCCCUGGCCAAGCCAAGGAAGGGAGAGGAAGGCAGGAGGACCCUGUCCUAACCCCUGUCAUCCCUCCUCUUGCCAGCGGAUCCGAGCCAGCCGAG
rnacentral:lncRNA from 1 species